CUUUUGCUGUUUUGUAUAGAUGCUUUAAUUCUGUUUGUGUGCACCAAUAUCCUAACAGAGGUGCUUCCAUUGUUUCAUCUACGGUGAAGAAGGCUGCCCAAAUUAUUCUGCAAGAAGAUGCAACUAGAUAUGAGAGAUCAUCAAUGAUGUGAUAACCAAAACUGGUGAAGCUUCAGUUUUACACGGACAGUUCUCCUGCACCUGCUCUCCCUUCUUAGGGGAGUUCCUCGAGAGAUUUCAGCUCUUUUGAGUGGCCAUAAAUCUUAUGAAACUUUUUUUUCUUGAACGCGCAGGAGAACUGUGCAUCAAUAUAUUAAGAAGAAAAGGGAGGGGUAGAAACCCCAGGAGAUACAGUUAUGGGCCAGUAUCGUGCCCUUACAACGAACCCCAAAAAUGCUCUUCCCUCAAACACAAUGACGCAUCAACAGUUUUUUUAUGUAGGAUAGUUAUGCUAGAUCAACAAGCAAAUUGUCCAUUGCAAUGUCACAUUUUUUUGUGUUCUUGUUUUAGUAAUCUUUUCAUAUGUUAGUGAAUUUAGUAUUUUGGUCCUACUGAUCAACUUUUGCAGCAAACAUUCAUUUUUGGUUUAGCAUUUUUUGUAUUCCAGUUAAGCAUUUUUAUAAUCUGAUUAUCUGAUUCAAUUCUUUGUGUUUGGUGCUAGUAUGCAGGCUCAUACAAAUAUGAUGAUGGAGCCAGUCCAAACCAUUUUUGGUUGUAGAGGAUGAGGGCGGGACACUUGUUUUUUAUGAAUAUUUAGAUAGGUGAAACUGCCUUUGAAUAUGCUGUAAUUUGCUUACAAUUAUUCAAAGCUUUGCUUUUUCUUUGUAACCAUCGAGUUGAAUUAGCUGUAUUAAAAAUGUAGAAUGUCCAGAAGCAAGAGGGCAGCUAUGUAGAUCUGAAUAUGUGGGUAAACAUUACUAUUUUACUAAUAGUUGAUGCUAGACCAGCUUGUUUUCCUGCACUAA